CGCGGGCCGCACUUGGACCGCCAAAGAGCCGCAUGCGGCUUGCGAGCCGCGGUUUGGCCACCCCUGAUCUAUGUGAACACGCGGUAGAGUACCGAUGUGAUAGCUAUGGGGCCGUAGUUGCCGAGCGUUGACUUUUGCCCUUUUCCCUUGUAGAUCAGUCAGAGUCCUGAGGUUCGCCACUCCACCGGCACCCAUCCCUCCUUGUGGCACUGCACGUGUCACAAUGAACCUGGUUGUGAGGUUCACAGCUGUGAUGAAGUACUUGUUCUCGUCAUCGGUGUUGAUUGGUCCGACGUGGUCGAUGGCCACAGAAUCAAACGGUGUCGUGGGGAUGACCCUGGGAUUGAGAGUGCCUGGGUGCACGCCUGUCGCGUGGUGGUGUUGUUGGCAUAUCUUGCACCCUCGAACAUACUGCGUGAUGUCGCGGUCCAUGUUGCUCCAGUGGUACCGUCGUUCAAGUUUAGACUUAGUUCGGAGUGCGUCACCAUGUCCAGCGUCGUCAUGAUGGCUUCUCAGGACAGCGUUGCGCAGGGACUUGGGCACUUCGGUUCGAAGUCUCGUCGUGUCGUUCUGCUUUGUCACAUGCAUCAAAAUGCCAUUGGCAAGCUGGAAGUUUCUCUCGAGGUGUUUCCGGUAUACCGUGUCUCCCGGUGUCUUGAGCUCUGCAAUGAUCGCUGCCAGCUCGGGGCCUUCGUCUUGUGCAUCACGUAGUCGAUUAUCAUUGGCUUUCACUACACAAAUGGCAUUCACCUUGGGUCUCAUGCGUGAGAGAGCAUAAGCCACUGUGUUUGUCUUUUCAGGUGUGUGACGCUCGGUGAAGUGAUACUGUGCCAAAUUGAGAAUGAUUCGUGCGAAUCUUCGGUUUGGGUUCUUUUUUGACAUGAUGUGGGCUACGGCCCAGUUGUCCGUGAAGAGUUCGAAGUGUUCCAGACCUUGAAGGUAUGGGUGAAAGCGAUCCGUAAUGGCCCAGUGAGCCGCUAUCGCUUCUAGCUCGGUCGAGUGCUUGCUGCUGUCGGUGUCCGUUACUUUCUUGCUCGCGUAUUCGACGACACGAGUGGAGUUGCCGUGCACUUGAACUAGUACUGCUCCGAAUGCGACGUGUGAGGCGUCCACAUACACCUGUGUUGGUAAGCUUGCAUCAAAGUUUGCAAGCACUGGUGCUUCAAUGUGUCGUUGUUUUAGCGUGUCUUCGCUAGUGCGCAUGUUGACAGCUCACCAUGCUUUCGGUGCCGGUCGCCGCAUGUGGUGGUGCUUUUUGACUUGAUGUCGACUUGGGCGUCGUUUGAGCGUUCUUGGUGUUAUGUCAGUCAAUGACGGAACCGUCGCGGUGACCUGGUGCGUUGGAUCGUAGUGCCGUAGGCCGCUUGGGCGUGUUUCUUUUUUUUUUUUUAGGGAGUUGUCGGCUGCUUCAUACCGAACUUUUGCUGCUUGCCCGUCUGCGUAGUCUUCGUUAGUGAGUCCUCGUCGCCGUGUUAGUCGUGGAUGAGCUCAAGAAUAAACAAUGUUAAUUGAAACUCAAGAAUUUAAUGCGGGUUAAAAUGGAUUACAAUUUGUCGUGACGACAUGACGUGCGCGAGUUCUUCCUCGCAAUGCUCUUCCUCUCCACCGAUGGCGCAAGGUGUCCGUCGUUGUGGAGCUCUCUCCACUGACAGAGGGCAAGUGCCGCCUUUUCUUCACUGCGGCCAUUAUUAUGUCUCUUCCUUCCUGACCGAUGCCGAAAACAAUCGCAUAUUUGAGGUAGUUUAUUAAGCUGCGUGUUCUUGGGGUUACCCGGCGCCUUUUCACGAGUGGUAAAGUUCAAUGACAAUAACACCGUAAUGCUCUCAUAAAAGACUGAAGACAAGUGGGCGGCUCCAUUAGCAGACGGCAGAGUUUUUACCACUCUGUGAGGGCCACCGAGCAACAUUCAGGUAUUCUACUCUGGAGCCACCGCUGCUCAUAAUCUAAGAGGCGUUGAAGAGGACGAUAAAUCUUGUGUACCGAUUCGCUAGGUUGGCUUGAACAUAACCUGUUUGGGGGGAUCAGUGCAUAAUCAUCUCAUUCAAAUGUAAAUCUUAAUUUUACUUUUUUAUGCCUCACUUGCCAUACCUGUUUUUAAAUUUGGCACCCAUAUUCAGUAUUGCUGAAUAUGCAUAGUGAAAGGCACAAACAGGUAUUGUUGUUUUCCGUUCUUUACUGUUUAUUAAUCGUCUUUCUAAACCUUGCAGAACCAACUGAACAGGAAUUUCGACGCAGAUGAGAACGACACUUCGCCGCUUUGCAAAGGUGGCCUGUCACCAGUCGAGUCCCCCUUCGGCGGUGCAAGGCCUUUGUGCUACAUUUUGUAUUUACACGUGCUUAAAACACUGGCGACUACAUAUGACUGGUAGAGAAGCGGCCGGCCAUCGGCAAUCACAAGAUGGUUCACAAGCUCCUCCGGUCGUAAGCAGCUGCAAGUUGAACUAUCCGGAAAUCCACUUAUUGCAAGUAUGAGCGACCCUUCGCUGCCUAGGAAAGAGGUCCGGCGAUCCGCCAAGUCAAUCUAUGGCAGUGCCAGAACUUUGGGCUACAUUUUCCCCCAGAUGAAUGGGACCGACUAGUCGGAUCAAAUAGGGAAUGGCCACAGCACAGUCAACAUGCAACAUUUCCAUUCCCUUCCCUACGUUUGUUCGCCGACACACCAAGUCCUUUUGUUGACAUGUAAUUCUCAAAACCUAUGGCGGUGAUACAAUGUACAGUGUUUGCUUUUGUAGCAUCGACUGCCUUUUUCAGCACUACAAAGCAGGAGCGCUGAGACAACACCACGCUCCUUGAUUGUAUCCAGUCGCGUCUUUCUCGAUUUCUGUGGGACUGUAUCGAUGUAAUCCUUUACCGCAUGUUUAAAGGGGCACUGACACCCCAAAGGUCGUAUUUUUUUUUAUUGUCUAAAACGAUGCAAGUUGCAGUCA